UACGUAGGGUGCAAGCGUUGUCCGGAAUUAUUGGGCGUAAAGAGCUCGUAGGCGGUCUGUCGCGUCUGCUGUGAAAACUCGGGGCUUAACCCCGGGCCUGCAGUGGGUACGGGCAGACUAGAGUGCGGUAGGGGAGACUGGAAUUCCUGGUGUAGCGGUGAAAUGCGUAGAUAUCUGGAGGAAUACCGGUGGCGAAGGCGGCAUCCUGGACCGGCAUUGACGCUGAUGAGCGAAAGCUAGGGGAGCAAACGGG
rnacentral:rRNA from 1 species